rnacentral:tRNA from 1 species
CCUUGGUUCGCUCAGGUGGCAGAGCCCUCCAGCUUUAAUGGAGAGGUCCCGAGUUCGAUACCCGGACCAGGCG